rnacentral:rRNA from 1 species
GAUGAACGCUGGCGGCGUGCCUAAUACAUGCGAGUCGAGCGAACAGACGAGGAGCUUGCUCCUCUGACGUUAGCGGCGGACGGGUGAGUAACACGUGGAUAACCUACCUAUAAGACUGGGAUAACUUCGGGAAACCGGAGCUAAUACCGGAUAAUAUAUUGAACCGCAUGGUUCAAUAGUGAAAGACGGUUUUGCUGUCACUUAUAGAUGGAUCCGCGCCGCAUUAGCUAGUUGGUAAGGUAACGGCUUACCAAGGCAACGAUGCGUAGCCGACCUGGGAGGGUGGUCGGCCGCACUGGAACUGAGACGGGGUCCAGGCUCCUACGGGAGGCAGCAGUAGGGAAUCUUCCGCAAUGGGCGGAAGCCUGACGGAGCGACGCCGCGUGAGUGAUGGAGGUCUUCGGAUCGUAAAACUCGGUUAUUAGGGAAGAACAAAUGUGUAAGUAACUAUGCACGUCUUGACGGUACCUAAUCAGAAAGCCACGGCUAACUACGUG